CAGGCCUAACCAUGCAAGUCGUGCGGGAAAGUCUCCUUCGAAGGGCAAGUACAGCGGCGACGGGUGAGUAACACGUAGGUAACCUACUCGAGAGACUGGGAUAACCUGCGAAAGGCGGGCUAAUACCAGAUAAGACCACGAGGGCCACGGUCCUCGCGCAAAAGGUGGCCUCUGCUUGCAAGCUACCACUCAUGAAUGGGCCUGCGGCCAUUAGCUAGUUGGCGGGGUAACGGCCCACCAAGGCGAAGAUGGCUACUGGUCUGAGAGGAUGAUCAGCCACACUGGGACUGAGACACGGCCCAGAUCCUACGGGAGGCAGCAGUGGGGAAUUUUGCACAAUGGGCGAAAGCCUGCGCAGCGACGCCGCGUGGGUGAUGAAGGCCUUCGGGUCGUAAAGCCCUGCGGGAGGGAAGAAACCUCGGCGAUCGAAUAGCUCGUCGAUCUGACGGGUCUCCUAGGGAAGCACCGGCUAACUCCGUGCCAGCAGCCGCGGUAAU
rnacentral:rRNA from 1 species